GCGGGCGUCGUAUAGUGGCUAUUACACCGGCUUGCCAUGCCGGAAACGGGGGUUCGAUUCCCCUCGCCCGCUCCA
rnacentral:tRNA from 1 species